GUUAAUACCAACGCAAGAAAAAUUAUUUUUUUUAGGUUUUCUUGCGAAAAUAGGUAUUAUACGCCAAUAUUCUUAUUUAUUUAUCGAAGAGACACACGCCAUUGUAUAAAAUAGUUAAUUACUGUUGAUACUUUUUGCAAAAAAUUAGCAAACAUUUUUAGAGUUGGUGAUAUUAACACCCUAGUGUUGGUAGUAACUAAGGUAUCGUUUAGAGGGCAUUAAACUCUGAUCUGUCAUUGAGUCUGUCACUUCUGUCAAGUCAGGUCAGUAUCGAUCGCUUGUAUUGAUCUUAUCUGUCUUUUUUAACGGGCUGGCGUCCUUUUGAAAAGAUACCUUAACCCUAGAAUGCUACAAGUGGCAGAUUAGGGCAAGAUACCAGUGCUAAAAUUGUCAGACACACCUAUCUUAGACACACCAAAGUUGAUGGCAAAAGCCACAUUGUACUAUAUGCUGGCAACAAAGACUGAUUUAUCACAGGAGCUGCCUUAAUAUUUACUUCUAAAACAAAAAAUACGGAUUAUCAUGCAGAAAUGAAUGAAAGAAAUUUUUCAACAUGGUUUGAGGAGCAGCUGCUUAAGAGAUUACAAAAGCCAUUAAUAACUUAUUAUGGAUAAUGGGAGCUACCAUUCUACUUUGGCUAAAAACACUAAAUAAUAAUAAACUGGCCCAAAGACGAUAUCAAAAAUUGGCUGCAAGGAUGUGACAUUACUUUUGAUAAUAGAUUGCUGAAAGUAGAGUUGUGAGAAUCAGUGUCGAGGUGUUCAGAUGGUCAUGCAUGGUAGCAAUUACUAAAUUAUAGUUAUAAAGUACAGCGUCUUCCUCCCUAUCAUUGUCUAUUUAACCCAAUCGAACAUAUUUAGGGAAUAACUAAAACAUAUUACAACAAACAUAUUGGGAGAGAUGGAAAUGGUACUCAGAAUGCUUUGGUUAUAUGGGAGGAAGCAGUAAAUGAGAUUACCACAGGGAUGAGGUAUUAGCAUUAAGAAUACCAUUGGAUGAGAUCACACAGAUUUUGAAGAAUAUGAUUGGCAAGAAGUGUCUGAGAAUGACGCAAAAAACGUAGCAAGUUGUAGUAACACACACCGUAUUGGCCCGAAAACAAGACGCACCCAUUUUCUAAAAAAUAAGGUUCGAAAAAUCGACGGCGACUUGUUUUCGCACCCCCCCGUCUUAUAUUCGAGCUGUUUCAGUAGCCAAAUCGUAACCUAACCGCACGUUAUUUUUACUUGGAAAAAUUAUCAAGACCGCCGGCAAUAUAUUUAUAUGAAAUGAACAUAUUAAUUGAAAUUAAGAAGUUUCCUGAAAAAGAAAAGACUGAAAGUGCCAAUGACACUAAAGCCGAUUUCAAGCGAGCCAACUGGUUAUAACCUUGGUUAUCGCUUUACUUGACCUUGGUUAUUUAUAUUUUCUGUCAACAGCGCCCUCUACUUGUCAGUCUAGUGUUGAUCGCUUGAAUAUGAAAAUCAUUUACCGGUUGACCAAUAGUCGGUUCUAUAACUAUAAACUAACCUAAGAUAAACAGGGUCCGAAGUAAAUUUGUAGUUUUAGUUGGUUUGGUGCAUAAUAACAAUAACAAGAUGCCUAAUAUCAGUACUUUUGAGAGUACUCUGUUAUUAAUGAUAUCAGAGGAAUUAGUUUUUGACAACACAAUAUUCUUAAUGCGUGAAAUGAAUAAUGACCUAAAUCAGGAAUGGAUGUAUAGGUUAUUACAUCAUUUGCUUUGCCAAAAAAAUGUAUGUUCCCAAAAAAAAUACGAGCAGAGCAAUGGAUUUUGAAAUAUGACAACUUACAGUUUUUUCGUUUAUUCCGAAUGGAAAAAACCACAUUUGAAAAAUCAAUUGCUUGUGUUUUAAAAGCAGACACAAAAAAUUUACUUAAUCCGAAAUAUAGGGGGGGUCAUUUCCCAAUUAUGAAUUUAGUUAGUUUAGUUAACGAAACAAUGCCACCGGCAUGAUACAAUUACCGGCACAUAACCUCACACCAAUAACCACAUGUAACACACCUCGCGAGGCAGGUUAUUUUCGAUUAACCAAAUGGCUAAACUAAGAACGAGAUCAAGGGUUCUAACUGUCACCGAAAAUGAUAACCGACCCCGCUUGAACGCUGUCGGUAAUUACCAUUUACGUUUGGUUAUAACCGGUGGCUCGCUUGAAAUCGGCUUAAAUUGUUAUUUCUACUUACUCAUCAAAAAAUACCUACUAUUCGAUGCUCAUUAUAUACCUAGGCACCGUUAUAUAGUUGAUACUCAUUAGAUAUCUAAGUGGGUAUGUACUUUUUCUGCAUAUGGACAGAUUUACAGUAAAACCAAACAUUAUUGCAAAAUUUUGAUCUAGGCGACAAAACGACCGGGGUGCAACCACUCUCGGGUUAAAAACUUGGGUGCGACUUGUUUUCGGGCCAAUACGGUAAUUUGAAACAAAUAAUGUUUCAUUACCUAAUAUGUAUGAAAAUUGUAACUAUUAAAAAUUUUCAAAUUUUC